UCCUUGGUCGGAAACCAAGGGAAGAUAGGAG
rfam:Enterorhabdus caecimuris B7 genomic scaffold acPFx-supercont1.1, whole genome shotgun sequence.